AUACACAUAUGGCAGGGGAGUGGCAAUGAUCUGCAGGGUGUUCUCCGGGGCUGAGGCUCGUCCAUUGCACUCCGGGCAUGCCGACGCCUGCCAUGUCUAAAAUGUGGGACACACGACUGUAAAAUGUGUGGUGGUGAGAACGGCGUUCGCGCUCUACUCU